AGAGUUUGAUCCUGGCUCAGGACGAACGCUGGCGGCGUGCCUAAUACAUGCAAGUAGAACGCUGAAGAGAGGAGCUUGCUCUUCUUGGAUGAGUUGCGAACGGGUGAGUAACGCGUAGGUAACCUGCCUUGUAGCGGGGGAUAACUAUUGGAAACGAUAGCUAAUACCGCAUAACAAUGGAUGACACAUGUCAUUUAUUUGAAAGGGGCAAUUGCUCCACUACAAGAUGGACCUGCGUUGUAUUAGCUAGUAGGUGAGGUAACGGCUCACCUAGGCGACGAUACAUAGCCGACCUGAGAGGGUGAUCGGCCACACUGGGACUGAGACACGGCCCAGACUCCUACGGGAGGCAGCAGUAGGGAAUCUUCGGCAAUGGGGGCAACCCUGACCGAGCAACGCCGCGUGAGUGAAGAAGGUUUUCGGAUCGUAAAGCUCUGUUGUAAGUCAAGAACGAGUGUGAGAGUGGAAAGUUCACACUGUGACGGUAGCUUACCAGAAAGGGACGGCUAACUACGUGCCAGCAGCCGCGGUAAUACGUAGGUCCCGAGCGUUAUCCGGAUUUAUUGGGCGUAAAGCGAGCGCAGGCGGUUAGAUAAGUCUGAAGUUAAAGGCUGUGGCUUAACCAUAGUACGCUUUGGAAACUGUUUAACUUGAGUGCAGAAGGGGAGAGUGGAAUUCCAUGUGUAGCGGUGAAAUGCGUAGAUAUAUGGAGGAACACCGGUGGCGAAAGCGGCUCUCUGGUCUGUAACUGACGCUGAGGCUCGAAAGCGUGGGGAGCGAACAGGAUUAGAUACCCUGGUAGUCCACGCCGUAAACGAUGAGUGCUAGGUGUCGGGGAGGAAUCCUCGGUGCCGCAGUUAACGCAAUAAGCACUCCACCUGGGGAGUACGACCGCAAGGUUGAAACUCAAAGGAAUUGACGGGGGCCC
rnacentral:rRNA from 1 species